AGUUCCUGUACCUCUCACACCAGAAAUGGAAUAAUGGGAAAACAUGAAUUAAGCUCUAGUAUGAGGAUCAUUUCCACAUCCUUCCCCAGUUAAAUAUAUGACUUUUGGAAAGUUCCUUCUUCUUGGACCUCAGUUUCAAUUCUGUAUUCUCUAAGCUGUCUUCAUCUCUAAGAUUAUCCUGAAGGCUCAUCAUCUCUUGCAGUGGAAACGGAAACAUAGCAGUUUUCACAUUUCCUUCAUCUCUCAGACAGAACUCUCCAUGAUGUUGACCGACUUCAAUGUUGAGAGCCAUUCUGAUCUUCAAAAUAAGUCACUGUGGCAAAUUGAAGGCUUCACUGUUUGAAAGUUUUCCAUCAAAUAGUUUCGGUGCAGAUAGAUGUUUCAGGACUUUACAAGUUACUUCACUUACUGACUGAAUUUGUCACUCGGAUGGUUGUUGUUUUCAUGCCAGUCUUCCACGCUUUCCCCACCCCCAAUCUGUGAAAGCCUGAAUGUGACACAUAUAUAUCUUUCUAGAGUUUCUUUUCAUUCAUCUUUUGAUAUAAAGGGGAAUUCAAAAGACUUCCCUGGAGUCUUUAAUUCCCCUGAAAAGAGUACUAAUCAUAUCUAUAGGGUCUUUGUGGUACUGAGGGAAUUAAGACUGCGUUUGGUGCGUAUGUGCCUGUGCAUUAAAGCAUAUAUAUGUGCGGCAAAUUUAUACGGAAUUCUUCUGUGGGGUUGUGAAAAUCAAGGUUAGAAAAGUCUGAGGUUUAUAUCCAAUCAUACUUUUCUCCUAAAUAUCUGUUUAAAUAUUUGCUGAACUUUGAACACCAUCCCUAUAUCAGAUGCCUAAAAUCCAAAAGGGGGAUUCAAUAAACUGACCAAGGUCCCUGAAUUGGGAAUUGAACAAUGUAAAACCUGUUCUGUGUCAUAAAUACGUAUUGUUCUGAAGGCAACAGAGUUAAUAGAGAACAUUAGAUCAGAUUUCCAUUCUAUUAAACAACAGUUGUUGUUUUAUACUCUUUUAGUGCCAGGCUGUAGUUUUUUAUUCUUUUCUCUACUACUUAGAUUUUGUUUAGCCUUUAUGAAUUACUUGUAUGAUGGAAAAACAAAAUGUAGGCCUAAGUUAUGAACUGUAGGUUUUGUUAAGGGGCUUAAGGGUGAUUUUAAGGUUUAGUUACAAUACCAUUUAUAAAGUUUCACAGUUGAAAUUAGUGUAAGGAUUAGCACUAAAGACAAGCCGUCCAGUAGGGGUGAGUGUACAGAUAGUGAUAACCUAACACUAAUGUGCCAAUUCUUUCUCUUUUUUUUUCUUUAGUUUCACUGAUAGCUCAGCCAUUAAGAUUGUUUACAUCCAUUUCUCCAUUUAUUUAUAAUCAGCCUUUUUUUUUUAUUCCUAGUGCCUGAAUCAGUGAGUAUGGACACUAAUGCUGCUUCUUUAUAACAAUAAGAAUACCUUAGAGUACUGAUGGUUUUCUUUUCUCAGCCAGUUCUUCUGACAAUAGAAGCCCCAACUCUUAAAAAGAUCAGUGGGAGUUAGGGGCAUCCUACAGAUAGCUAUCAAGGAGUUGAGCUUCCGAAAAGAUGUUAGGUUUACUGAAUUUUCCCCCUUAAAACCUUUUUGAGUAAAAGUGAGUUGCUUACCACAAACAAUUCUGUGUUCAGGCUCCUGUGGAGCUGUGAAAGGGAGCAAUCAGCUGCCUAAAGCAAUAAAAGUCCUGUUCAUAUAAACUCUCUCUUAAGUAAUUGUGUUCAAGGUAAGACAUGUAGCAUAAAUUAAAUUGAUUGGGCCAGCAUUUCAUUUUAGAGAAUACUAGACAUGAGUAACACUGUUAGUAGGGCCAGGGACUGUUUCUUAAACUCAGACAAUAAGAAGCAGCUUAGAAGACUAAGCACAGUGAAAUCAUACGUUCAGAUUGGGAGGUUUUUCCCCUUCUUCUCUCCCUGGAAAUCACUGUCUUGUUUAAAUUUCUCUUGAAAGUUUAUUUGGUUUUCCACAUGGUCUUAUGAUUGACACGGCUUGCCUUUUAUUCCUGUAGAAAUGUACCCUUCUCUAAAGGUAGAGUCGUUACUUACUCCACAGCCAGCGUGCCUCAAAGCAAUAUUUUCCUUUCCCGUCUGUCAUAUUCUGCCAAGGGUUUAGAACAGAGCAGCUGCUAACUAUGAUUCAAAGUCAAGACGGAAUCAAGAACUUUUGAUUCAUAGUGUAUAUCACAUUACAUAUCACAGUUUGACCUCACAGAAAUCAGGUCAUAAAUGACAGUGUCAGGAAACUACAGGGAACCACUAGAAUGGUAAAACUCAGGAGAGCUAUCAUGCAAAGCUGAUUGUUAAUGUCUUACAGAUUUACACUGUUUUCAAAAGGAUAAAAUCAAGAUUUUCCCUGGGGUCUUACAGAAGAAAACCUAUUCUGGUCUCAGCCCUUUGAUUCCACUAGUUUAUGUGCUCUGAUAAGAUCCCUGUCCAAACAUUGAGUAUUGACUGCUGUACAUAAGUAUCCCCCAAAAAGUGGUUGACUAUUGAUAAAGAAGACAGGGAGGUUUGUUUGAUCAUUAGAGUACCCUGAUCUGACUCUUGUGUGUGCUUUUCCUUGGGGCCUGUCCAGUAACCUGUGGAAUCUCAUUCCCCAAUAUUUGGUACCCAUCUUCCCCACUUGAAGACACUCAUUGUUAGGAUCCUACCACUGAAAGGUGCUAAGUAACUCCCGAGUGCUCUUAAAUGUCUUUACGUUUGACUAUAACAGUAUUUCUAAGCAAACCAGUGUGCUCCAGUCUUUCUUCCAUGCUCUCAUUGCUGACUUGUUCUUACAGAACUUGGAGUACUUUAUUAACGUUCUUUCAUUCAUUCCAAUAAUGUCCGUGGAAAAAAAGAAUGGAAAUUAUUUUCUCCAUAGUACAGCUGGAAAAAUUGAGAGCAAAAGGAAUGAAGUACCCCCCAAAGGCACAUAGCUGUCUUGGACAGAAUUCAGUUACAUGUCUAGCGUACUGUUAGAAUGACUUGCUUCCCAGUACUGCUGCUGACACACAGCAGCUUAGAACAUUGAGAGCAAUUAGGGCAGAAUCACAUUUCAGACAAGUCCCAUUUUGUACAAAAUCAGAAAGUAUGCAAUUUUCUAUGUGACAGAAAUGUAAUAUGUGCCUCUUUCUCCCACUGGCCCCAUGUGACACAUUUCACACUACACAGCAUCAGCCAGUGCCAUCAUUUCCUGUGGUACCAUAGAGCCCAACUUCAGGGCUGGCUUUGCUAGGGAAAAGAAUGUGCUUCCCUACAUUUGUGCCAAAUUGCACAAAGUGUAGACAUUGAGCUAAUGAAGAUUUAAGCACAAUUCUAUCAGGUAUGUUUUAAGAAUAUUGAAUGUACAUUAUUGUAACAUCCAUCUGAAAUUCAGCAUGCCCCAGAUUCACGGGAAUGUAACAGUCAUGCAAAGCCUAUCCCUUUGCCUCUCAUCACUCAUAUAUUUGUGUGUGCAUGCAUGGGCGCACACACACAACAGCUACCAAACCUGAUUGCCUGGUUAUCAGGAGCAAAACUUUGAAGGAAUGAUUCUCCUUUCCUUUUAGAAAAAGUCCCAAUGGUCACUGCAAGUAAAGUACAUUCCAUUUGUACAUUCCAGAACCUCUGUUCCCAGAAUGGCUAAGAUAUUCAGUUGGUGCAAAAGACAUGUUCUGUGCCUGUGUCAGAAGCGCAGAAGGCAUAUAACAAGAUUGUUAGACCCUUCCAUAAGUCCCAUGUUCUUAGGAAAUUCAUGAGCUCCAUCCAAUCAGUAGAAAUUGGUUUAUUAGAUUUACUGCAUUUCUUUAAUCAUAACUAUAAUGUACCAUAUUAAAUUGUAGCUUUGCAUGCAGCUAUUAUGUAAUAAAAUAAUGACUGGGUGACUCCUAAUAGCAUGCAACCAUGACUGUUUACUUCCUCAAAGGGCCUGGGGCUUUGUCCUGCACAGUGUCCAAAACUAUUAAUUGUGUUCUUAGUAAGCAGCUGGUGUACAGUCAUCAAUCAGCACAAUGAGUUAAAACAUAAUAAAAUGCAAGGUAUCAGGAAAUAGAUUCAUAGUACGGGUUAGCAUUAAAGAGUGGAAAAAGCAAAGAGGUAAGAUGCAUUCAAGGAAUAAUUGCUGUCAUCCUGCUGGUUAAAUCAGCAAAGGGAUACGGCAGGAAAUCUGGUAAUUGGUGGCCGUAAAUAUAUGAAAUGCACUGGAGAGCCAGAAAAAGAAAGGCACUGGGGAUAUUAGUAGUUAAGCUCAUGUUGCCAAUUAGCUACAAAUCCUUUUUUCCACUAUCUGCUCAAAGUGAUUGUUUAUAGUAUUCUUAGAACCAUGUGUCUUGCUGCUGAAGUACCCACAAAUGCUGACCAGCUUUUUCCUAUGUCCUUCAUUAAAAGCAUAUGCUUAACAUUGUCGUUUCUUUUAUGUAUUAUGGUUUUGUUAAACAAUGUUGUCAGAGCCUAACAUUAUAAACCACUUGGAUGGGAGUUUCUGUACAUCUCAUUUCAGGGAAUAUAGUGGUUAUUCAUUCCCAGGUUGAGUGAUAAUGUGUGGUAUGUAGCCUCCUCUGUAAUCUUCCAAAGACUCUUGCCUGUGCCCAGUAUUUUUCAUGUUCCUACAUCCCUACAUGAAUACGAGAUGGGAAAUUAGCAGCAAUGACUUUUAGCUAGAAAUCUGACUAGUGUACUUAAUUAUGUUCAGUCUCUGCUAAGCCUCACACAUAUUUUGCC